UACGUAGGGUGCGAGCGUUAAUCGGAAUUACUGGGCGUAAAGCGUGCGCAGGCGGUUUUGUAAGCCAGAUGUGAAAGCCCCGGGCUCAACCUGGGAAUGGCAUUUGGGACUGCAAGGCUUGAGUGCGGCAGAGGAGACUGGAAUUCCUGGUGUAGCAGUGAAAUGCGUAGAUAUCGGGAGGAACACCGGUGGCGAAGGCAGUUCUCUGGGCCUUACCUGACGCUGAGGAGCGAAAGCGUGGGGAGCGAACAGG
rnacentral:rRNA from 1 species